rnacentral:rRNA from 1 species
GACGAACGCUGGCGGCGUGCUUAACACAUGCAAGUCGAACGGAAAGGCCCUGCUUUUGUGGGGUGCUCGAGUGGCGAACGGGUGAGUAACACGUGAGUAACCUGCCCUUGACUUUGGGAUAACUUCAGGAAACUGGGGAUAAUACCGGAUAGGAGCUCCUGCUGCAUGGAGGGGGUUGGAAAGUUUCGGCGGUUGGGGAUGGACUCGCGGCUUAUCAGCUUGUUGGUGGGGUAGUGGCUUACCAAGGCUUUGACGGGUAGCCGGCCUGAGAGGGUGACCGGCCCCAUUGGGACUAAGAUACGGCCCAGACUCGUACGGUGGGCAGAAGUGGGAAAUAUUGCACAAUGGGGGGAAGCCUGAUGCGGCGGCGCCGCGUGCGUGAUGACGGCCUUCGGGGUGUAAACCGCUUUCGCCUGUGACGAAGCGUGAGUGACGGUAAUGUAUAAAGAAGCACCGGCUAACUACGUG